rnacentral:rRNA from 1 species
UUGGAGGGCAAGUCUGGUGCCAGCAGCCGCGGUAAUUCCAGCUCCAAUAGCGUAUAUUAAAGUUGUUGCAGUUAAAAAGCUCGUAGUUGAAUUUCGGGAUUUAUACGUUGGUCGGGCUUUUGGGUCUGUACUGGCGUAAUGAAUUCCUACCUUCUGAAUAACCAGCAUGUCAUUAAUUUGAUGCGCCGGGGAAGCAGGACUGUUACCUUGAAAAAAUUAGAGUGCUUAAAGCAGGCUAUUGCCUGAAUACAUUAGCAUGGAAUAAUGAAAUAGGACGGCAUGGUUCUAUUUUGUUGGUUUCUAGGAUCACCGUAAUGAUUAAUAGGGAUAGUUGGGGGCAUUAGUAUUCAAUUGUCAGAGGUGAAAUUCUUGGAUUUAUUGAAGACUAACUUCUGCGAAAGCAUUUGCCAAGGAUGUUUUCAUUAAUCAAGAACGAAAGUUAGGGGAUCGAAGACGAUCAGAUACCGUCGUAGUCUUAACCAUAAACUAUGCCGACUAGGGAUCGGACGAUGUUAAUUUUUUAAUGACUCGUUCGGCGCCUUACGGGAAAC